AGGACCCUACGGGGCGCAGCAGUGAGGAAUAUUGGUCAAUGGCCGGAAGGCUGAACCAGCCAAGUCGCGUGAGGGACGACUGCCCUAUGGGUUGUAAACCUCUUUUAUAAGGGAAGAAUAAAUGCUACGUGUAGCAUGAUGCCUGUACCUUAUGAAUAAGCAUCGGCUAACUCCGUGCCAGCAGCCGCGGUAAUACGGAGGAUGCGAGAGUUAUCCGGAUUUAUUGGGUUGAAAGGGUGCGUAGGCGG
rnacentral:rRNA from 1 species